UAGUGGCAGACGGGUGAGUAAUGUAUAGGAAUCUACCUAGUAGUACGGAAUAAUUGUUGGAAACGGCAACUAAUACCGUAUACGCCCUACGGGGGAAAAAUUUAUUGCUAUUAGAUGAGCCUAUAUUAGAUUAGCUUGUUGGUGGGGUAAUGGCCUACCAAGGCAAUGAUCUAUAGCUGAUCUGAGAGGAUGAUCAGCCACACUGGAACUGAGAUACGGUCCAGACUCCUACGGGAGGCAGCAGUGGGGAAUAUUGGACAAUGGGCGAAAGCCUGAUCCAGCCAUGCCGCAUGAGUGAAGAAGGCCUUUGGGUUGUAAAGCUCUUUUAGUGAGGAAGAUAAUGACGGUACUCACAGAAGAAGUCCUGGCUAACUCCGUGCCAGCAGCCGCGGUAAUACGGAGAGGGCUAGCGUUAUUCGGAAUUAUUGGGCGUAAAGGGCGCGUAGGCGGGUUAGUAAGUUAAAAGUGAAAUCCCAAGGCUCAACCUUGGAAUUGCUUUUAAAACUGCUAACCUAGAGAUUGAAAGAGGAUAGAGGAAUUCCUAGUGUAGAGGUGAAAUUCGUAAAUAUUAGGAGGAACACCAGUGGCGAAGGCGUCUAUCUGGUUCAAAUCUGACGCUGAUGCGCGAAGGCGUGGGGAGCAAACAGGAUUAGAUACCCUGGUAGUCCACGCUGUAAACGAUGAAUGUUAAAUAUGGGAAGUUUACUUUCUGUAUUACAGCUAACGCGUUAAACAUUCCGCCUGGGGACUACGGUCGCAAGAUUAAAACUCAAAAGAAUUGACGGGGACCCGCACAAGCGGUGGAGCAUGUGGUUUAAUUCGAUGCAACGCGAAAAACCUUACCACUUCUUG
rnacentral:rRNA from 1 species